rnacentral:rRNA from 1 species
UUGACCUCAAAUCAGGUAGGACUACCCGCUGAACUUAAGCAUAUCAAUAAGCGGAGGAAAAGAAACUAACAAGGAUUCCCCUAGUAACUGCGAGUGAAGCGGGAAAAGCUCAAAUUUAAAAUCUGGUAGUCUUCGGCUGCCCGAGUUGUAAUCUAGAGAAGCAUUAUCUGCGCUGGACCGUGUACAAGUGUCCUGGAAUGGACCAUCAUAGAGGGUGAGAAUCCCGUCUUUGACACGGACUCCCAGGGCUUUGUGAUGUGCUCUCAAAGAGUCGAGUUGUUUGGGAAUGCAGCUCUAAAUGGGUGGUAAAUUCCAUCUAAAGCUAAAUAUUGGCGAGAGACCGAUAGCGAACAAGUACCGUGAGGGAAAGAUGAAAAGAACUUUGGAAAGAGAGUUAAACAGUACGUGAAAUUGCUGAAAGGGAAACGCUUGAAGUCAGUCGCGUUGGCUGGGGAUCAACCUUGCUUUUUGCUUGGCUUACUUCCCAGUUGACGGGUCAGCAUCAGUUUUGACCGGUGGAUAAAGGCUAGGGGAAUGUGGCACCCUCGGGUGUGUUAUAGCCCUUGGUCAUAUGCAUUGGUUGGGACUGAGGACCU